rnacentral:rRNA from 1 species
UACGGGGGGAGCAAGCGUUGUUCGGAUUUACUGGGCGUAAAGGGCGCGUAGGCGGCGCAACAAGUUACUUGUGAAAUCUCCGGGCUUAACCCGGAGCGGCCAAGUGAUACUGUCGUGCUAGAGUGCGGAAGGGGCUACUGGAAUUCUCGGUGUAGCGGUGAAAUGCGUAGAUAUCGAGAGGAACACCUGCGGCGAAGGCGGGUAGCUGGGCCGACACUGACGCUGAGGCGCGAAAGCCAGGGGAGCGAACGGG